rnacentral:rRNA from 1 species
GACGAACGCUGGCGGCGUGCUUAACACAUGCAAGUCGAACGGGAUUUAGUAAACAGAAACCUCGGUGGAAGAUUACUAAUGAGAGUGGCGAACGGGUGAGUAACGCGUGAGCAACCUGCCUAUGACAGUGGGAUAGCCUCGGGAAACCGGGAUUAAUACCGCAUAACAUCGUAGAAACACAUGUUUUAACGGUCAAAGAUUUAUCGGUCAUAGAUGGGCUCGCGUCUGAUUAGCUAGUUGGUGAGAUAACAGCCCACCAAGGCGACGAUCAGUAGCCGGUAUGAGAGGAUGAACGGCCACAUUGGAACUGAGACACGGUCCAAACUCCUACGGGAGGCAGCAGUGGGGAAUAUUGCACAAUGGGGGAAACCCUGAUGCAGCGACGCCGCGUGAACGAAGAAGGUAUUCGUAUCGUAAAGUUCUGUCCUAUGGGAAGAUAAUGACAGUACCAUAGAAGAAAGCUCCGGCUAAAUACGUG